UACAACAUAGCGUUAAUGCAACAGAUCCCAUUACAAAUUUGCAGUUAAGUGUGCUCAGGAUAGAGUAGUACUGGGAUGGGUGUCCACCCGGGAAGUCCUAGUGUUUAAC
rnacentral:rRNA from 1 species